ensembl:lncRNA
GACCAGCGCAUAAGGAAAAGGGAGGGGGGAUCUGGAUAAGCGCCAUAUUGGAGGUGGCACUUCCACGCUGUUACCCUGGUUCGAGCUACAAGGGAAUAACCACGAUCCCCUGGUUAUAACAAAUAAACUGAUGGAAGUGUUUCCGAAGCUCCAACAAGGGGGAGGCUUUAAUGGAAAAUCUUGCAUUGCUUCAGUGUCCCAGCACUGGAUACACCCUUGCCUAUCUGAAAGAUCCAUCGACGAUGAUUGGACAGGCUACAAUCUACAUAAGUCCACUUCAACAGGAUCUACCCUUAGAUUGUGAGAGCUCACGUCCUGCCUCUGGUCCAGUCAUCCCCUGCAUCACUUGUCAGAAGGAGGUUCCCUUUUCAGAGAUGAAGCUGCACAGAUUGAGCUGCAAUGGGAGGAAUGGGCCGAACACUGCCAUUUGAGGGUGAACCUGACCAUCUUGUUCCAGCAGCAUCAGAGGCACAUAUUGAAAGCAACCUCUUCCGGGUUGCACGAAGGAUGUUGGCCCACACCUUUCUGCAUGACGGUCCCCAUGUUACAGGAUUAAGUCCUGCUGUAAUUCAUGUACUGUUCAAUGGGGACCCUGAAAUGGCUACUGUUGUUGUUGAACACUGUCCUGAUCUGCACAUCAGGAGCAUCAUAGAACUGGUAUGUAACCUAGCCAUGUAAAAAGUAUUGCUUGGGCAGAUAUAAUAAAUGGUAUGGUCCUUAUUCUAGCCUGAACAUGAAGAACUUACACCAGAACAGAAAGACACAGUUUCAGAUCUUUCCAUGUCUUGGGAUCUUCCGGCAGUCACCAAAACAAAU